rnacentral:rRNA from 1 species
GCCUAACACAUGCAAGUCGAACGAAGUUACACAGAGGAAGUUUUCGGAUGGAAUCAGUAUAAGUUAGUGGCGGACGGGUGAGUAACGCGUGGGAAACCUGCCCUGUACCGGGGGAUAACACUUAGAAAUAGGUGCUAAUACCGCAUAAGCGCACGGAACUGCAUGGUUCUGUGUGAAAAACUCCGGUGGUACAGGAUGGUCCCGCGUCUGAUUAGCCAGUUGGCAGGGUAACGGCCUACCAAAGCGACGAUCAGUAGCCGGCCUGAGAGGGUGAACGGCCACAUUGGGACUGAGACACGGCCCAAACUCCUACGGGAGGCAGCAGUGGGGAAUAUUGCACAAUGGGGGAAACCCUGAUGCAGCGACGCCGCGUGAGUGAAGAAGUAUUUCGGUAUGUAAAGCUCUAUCAGCAGGGAAGAAAAUGACGGUACCUGACUAAGAAGCCCCGGCUAACUACGUGCCAGCAGCCGCGGUAAUACGUAGGGGGCAAGCGUUAUCCGGAUUUACUGGGUGUAAAGGGAGCGUAGACGGCAUGGCAAGCCAGAUGUGAAAACCCAGGGCUCAACCUUGGGAUUGCAUUUGGAACUGCCGGGCUGGAGUGCAGGAGAGGUAAGCGGAAUUCCUAGUGUAGCGGUGAAAUGCGUAGAUAUUAGGAGGAACACCAGUGGCGAAGGCGGCUUACUGGACUGUAACUGA